rnacentral:tRNA from 1 species
UGUAAAAUAGUGUAAGGUGCACACAAGCCUUUGAAACUUGUAGACAGCGGUUCAAAUCCCUGUUUUACAA